rnacentral:lncRNA from 1 species
CUUGUUUAAAAAAUCUCAACCAACCUUGAGACAGGAACACAACAGUAACCAUCACUCGUGGGACCUGCCUGACUGGAGCUCAGCAGUGAACCCAAGCAAAGCUGGUGCAAGUCCCACCAUGCAGGAGGCUGAGCCCUCCAAGAGUGUGGCUGCUGCUUUCCAGGCUGAGCAGAUUCUCCAGUUUCCUGCACUUUCAGGUUUGGAUGAUCUCUUCAAGAGAAACUUCCAGGCUGAGGAACACUCCAGGGGUAGCAAAGGAGGGACAGCAUGGACUGCUCAUCACUCCUGGCUGCAUCUGCAUCUCUGGUGCCAGAGGGGGGACCCUGCACACCUCCUGCCUUCAGCUGGGACAACAAGAGAGGGAGC